rnacentral:rRNA from 1 species
AUUGAACGCUGGCGGCAUGCUUUACACAUGCAAGUCGAACGGUAACAGGCCGCAAGGUGCUGACGAGUGGCGAACGGGUGAGUAAUGCAUCGGAACGUGCCCAGUCGUGGGGGAUAACUACUCGAAAGAGUAGCUAAUACCGCAUACGAUCUAUGGAUGAAAGCGGGGGACCGUAAGGCCUCGCGCGAUUGGAGCGGCCGAUGUCAGAUUAGGUAGUUGGUGGGGUAAAGGCUCACCAAGCCAACGAUCUGUAGCUGGUCUGAGAGGACAACCAGCCACACUGGGACUGAGACACGGCCCAGACUCCUACGGGAGGCAGCAGUGGGGAAUUUUGGACAAUGGGCGCAAGCCUGAUCCAGCAAUGCCGCGUGCAGGAAGAAGGCCUUCGGGUUGUAAAAUGCUUUUGUACGGAACGAAACGGCUCUGGUUAAUACCCGGGGCUAAUGACGGUACCGUAAGAAUAAGCACCGGCUAACUACGUG